AUUGAACGCUGGCGGCAGGCCUAACACAUGCAAGUCGAGCGGAUGAAGGGAGCUUGCUCCUGGAUUCAGCGGCGGACGGGUGAGUAAUGCCUAGGAAUCUGCCUGGUAGUGGGGGAUAACGUCCGGAAACGGGCGCUAAUACCGCAUACGUCCUGAGGGAGAAAGUGGGGGAUCUUCGGACCUCACGCUAUCAUAUGAGGCUAGGUCGGAUUAGCUAGUUGGUGGGGUAAAUGCCUACCAAGGAGACGAUCCGUAACUGGUCUGAGGGGAUGAUCAGUCACACUGGAACUGAGACACGGUCCAGACUCCUACGGGAAGCAGCAGUGGGGAAUAUUGGACAAUGGGCGAAAGCCUGAUCCAGCCAUGCCGCGUGUGUGAAGAAGGUCUUCGGAUUGUAAAGCACUUUAAGUUGGGAGGAAGGGCAGUAAGUUAAUACCUUGCUGUUUUGACGUUACCAACAGAAUAAGCACCGGCUAACUUCGUG
rnacentral:rRNA from 1 species